CUACGGGCUGCACCAGUGAGGAAUAUUGGACAAUGGAGGAAACUCUGAUCCAGCCAUGCCGCGUGUAUGAAGAAGGCCUUAGGGUUGUAAAGUACUUUCAAACGUGAAGAUAAUGACGGUAGCGUUAGAAGAAGCUCCGGCUAAAUUUGUGCCAGCAGCCGCGGUAAUACGAAUGGAGCAAGCGUUGUUGGGAAUCACUGGGCUUAAAGCGUGCGCAGGCGGACAUUCAAGUCAGAAGUGAAAGCCCCGGGCUCAACCCGGGAACUGCUUUUGAAACUAGAUGUCUAGAAUCCGGGAGAGGUCAGUAGAAUUCCCAGUGUAGAGGUGAAAUUCGCAGAGAUUGGGAGGAAUACCAGUGGCGUAGGCGACUGACUGGACCGGUAUUGACGCUCAGGCACGAAAGCGUGGGGAGCAAACAGGAUUAGAUACCCUAGUAGUC
rnacentral:rRNA from 1 species